rnacentral:rRNA from 1 species
UACAGAGGUCCCGAGCGUUGUUCGGAUUCACUGGGCGUAAAGAGCGUGUAGGCGGUUUGGUAGGUCCGUUGUGAAAACUCGAGGCUCAACCUCGAGACGCCGAUGGAAACCAUCAGACUAGAGUCCGGAAGAGGAGAGUGGAAUUCCUGGUGUAGCGGUGAAAUGCGCAGAUAUCAGGAAGAACACCCGUGGCUAAGGCGGCUCUCUAGUACGGUACUGGACGCUGAGACGCGAAAGCGUUGGGGAGCGAACAGG